CAAAAUUUAGAUCUAGAUUUUGGGUUUGGUUAAGCUUUUUCUUUGUGGGAUUGGAUUGUUUAAUCUUUGAGUGUGAGCAUUAUUGAUCAGGAUACUGGGAAUAUAUGUCAAGGUGCAUAUGCUUGUACUUUUGGGCAUAUUUUGUCAAUGUUUUUAAGUGGAGAUUAAAGUUUGACACAUACAAUGACGUUGAUAUUGUUCUCAAGUUUAGACUUUAGAUACUAGACUAGACUAAAAAGGUUUCUAGAAUUUUGUUUUUUUCUACAAGACAGCUACUUUUGUUUGUGUAAGUUAAGUUAAAUACAAUGAACAAAUUUAAGAAUUAAAUCGAAAAUUAAAUCUCGAAACAUGUUUUCUAGCAUUUGUUCAAAUGUCUCCUAUGUAAUUAUUUUGAAGUACAUCAAAAAUAUUUUUCUUUUGAGACAAUUGUCUUUAUCAUGUUCGUUGAAUUUGCAUCAUACCGUGAUCACAUUCCUCUCAAAUUCGAGUUUGUGACAUCUAGGAGAGCGUAUUCAGCGCAUCCGGGUGCGCCGCGCACCCGUCUAUCUCCGCCGCGCACCCGUCCAUCUCCGCCGUCCAUUUGACACGGACUUUUGACUUUUUCAAAAUGGACGGCGGAGAUGGACAGGUGCGCGGUGCACCCGGGUGCGCUAUAUAAUUUUCGGACAUCUAGAUCUACGUUUUUGUUCAGUAGAAAGUCGCAUAAGAUGGCUCCACAUUCACUGAUCACCAAGUCAAGACAAAAUGCAGCCCCUUCAUGAUAACUUCGAAAUUUGCCAGUGCCUUCAAUCCUUGGAUAACACAAUAGCUCAUGUCACUCCUGCUAUUCACAUUGAUCUGAUCGUUUCAUGAAGACUCGAAUCCGAAUUGUGCAGUAAAGGACAUUCAGAUGACCUAAGAACUAUCUGGAGAUUCUGAUCUGAUCAACCCCAAACACUUCAGUGGAUUAAAAUAGUUGUACACAGCUCAGAUCCUCAGAUUGUGUAGGGUUUGGUGAGGUUGAUCCUUUUGAAGUUUAAAGAAUAUCUGGAAACCGGAAUCGUCAAAUGAGAGAUGUCAUUUUCUCUCUUUGUCCAUAAAGCCAAAAAAUAAAUAUUCUAUAUUUUUAAGGGUAUCGAUCUCAGUUUUUCAUGUGGAUCAUAUAAUUUCAGAAAGACAAGCCAGGCUGCCAUUGGGAGAAUUGCAUACUCUGGUCUUGCAUAUGGAUCCCUUGCAUAUGUGGUGUCACCUUCCAUUAUUGAUAAGUGAUUGUGUCCACAAAUAAAGGAUGGUUAGUAAUGGGGAUCAGUCAGUUCAUUUCAAGUGGCUAG
rnacentral:lncRNA from 1 species